rnacentral:rRNA from 1 species
GACGAACGCUGGCGGCGUGCCUAAUACAUGCAAGUAGAACGCUGAAGGAGGAGCUUGCUUCUCUGGAUGAGUUGCGAACGGGUGAGUAACGCGUAGGUAACCUGCCUGUUAGCGGGGGAUAACUCUUGGAAACGAUAGCUAAUACCGCAUAAUAUUUUAUGUUGCAUGACAUUUGCCUAAAAGGUGCAAUUUCAUCACUACCAGUUGGACCUUCGUUGUAUUAUCUAGUUGGUGGGGUAAAGGCUCCACAAGGCGACGAUACAUAGCCGACCUGGUGGGGUGAUCGGCCAAAAUGGGACUGAGACACGGCCCAGACUCCUACGGGAAGAAGCAGUAGGGAAUCUUCGGCAAUGGACGGAAGGCUGAACGAGGAAAGCCGCGGGAGUGAAGAAGGGUGUCGGAUCGUAAAGCUCUGUUGUAAGGGAAGAACGAGUGGGGGAGUGGAAAGUGCACACUGUGACGGUACCUUACCAGAAAGGGACGGCUAACUACGUG